UUUGGGAAAAUUUUCUUCAAUUUACAUAGCUCAGGAGCAACUAAAACUGUAAGAGUUACAUGUGAGCUCAUCAGUGAACUGCAGAAGGCACACUUGCAGUGUGCAUAUUCUGCAUAAUCUUGGGUGAUGUAAAUGCUGCAGAUACACUGUGUCGCCCCUUUAUGCUAUAAACUCAGACUGCACCGUGAAAUAAAAGAAACAUUGAAGUUCCUCUUUCCCUAAGAGGUAGUGCACAUGUUACAUGAACAUUGAAGUUCACCUUUUGCAUAUAAAAAGGUGCAUAAUCACUAAACUGUAUUAAAAAUAAACAAAACAGAAUUGCCACACAAA